UUGGGAAUCUUGCACAAUGGACGAAAGCCUGAUGCAGCAACGCCGUGUGAACGAGGAAGGUCUUCGGAUCGUAAAGCUCUGUUGUUGGGGACGAAGGGCGAAGGGUUAAUAGCCCCUAGCCUGACGGUACCCUUCGAGGAAGCCCCGGCUAACUACGUGCCAGCAGCCGCGGGAAUACGUAGGGGGCGAGCGUUGUCGGGAAUUAUUGGGCGUAUAGAGCGUGUAGGCGGCCUGGUAAGUCUGUCGUGAAAUGCUGGGUCUCAACCCUGGACGUGCGAUGGAUACUGCUAGGCUAGAGGAUGGUAGAGGCGAGUGGAAUUCCCGGUGUAGCGGUGAAAUGCGCAGAUAUCGGGAGGAACACCAGUAGCGAAGGCGGCUCGCUGGGCCAUUCCUGACGCUGAGACGCGAAAGCGUGGGGAGCGAACAGGAUUAGAUACCCCGGUAGUCC
rnacentral:rRNA from 1 species